GUUAUGUGAAACUUCCCCAGGAGCAUUGUUCAAAUACUUUGGAGGCACAGAAUCAGCCCAGAGCCAGUCCACAUCCUCAGGCUCAACUGUGAGUGAUGAAUCAGGUCCAUCUCCAUCCUCUACAGUGCUCUCUCACACACCUCCACCCUCUGUGCCCACUGUCCCCUCCAUGUCUGAAACCACAGCUGAUUUAUCUACAACUUCCACCACAACGUCCCC